ACUGUGUUUGGGGGCGGAGCUCCAUGUGACUGAGUGUCCAAUGGAUACGUCGCACACCUUUUCAGUGUCCAAUCAGCAACAGGAACAGCAGGUGGGCGUGGUCCGGUCCAGACCUCCUCUCUGCUGUCCUCGGUGUCUUGGAGGAGAACCCGGUCACAUCAACCACAUCAUGGGCCUCUGAGGAGGAGGAGGAGGAGGAGGAGGAGGAGGGGCCCCUUUAGGGUCCUCUGACUCGUCUAGACUCACAGCCGUCCAAUGACACUUCACUCCCUGAUGAUGUAAUCAUGACCCCGCCCACUGACAGGGCCAAUCAGGUGCUCCUCUUGUAAGAUAAGAUAAGAUAAGAUAAGAUAAUCCUUUAUUAGUCCCACAGUGCAGAGAGGACAUAAACUAGAGACACAGUGAAGAACAAGAUCAAAACAAGUAUUAUAAAUAAGUAAUAACACAGUAGAGAAUAUUAAAUAACUCAAAUAUUAUAUAAACAGACAGAAUAAUUGUAGUAUUGUACAGUGUAGUGGACAUAUUUCUAUAUUGCACAGAUUUAUAUAGUUGUUUUUUAGUGUCGUGGUCUGCUGGGAGCAGAGCUGGUUGUGCAGCCUGACAGCAGCAGGAAGGAAGGACCUGCAGUACCUCUCCUUCACCACCGGGGGUGAAGGAGCUGCACAGAGCUGCCAGGGUGUCCUGCAUGGGGUGAGAGGUGUUGUCCAUCAGGGAUGACAGCUUGGCCAUCACCCUCCUGUCUCCCACCACCUCCACCGUAACCAGUGGACACCCCAGCACACUGCUGGCCUUCUGAACCAGUUUGUUGAGUCUCCUCCUGUUGUCUGUUGAGACCUCCAUAGAAGAUGUCUGAAGCCACCAGAGUGACAGAAGGUCCUCAGGAGUUCUCCCUGCCCUGAUUCUCUUUAACAUUCCUCCGUUUCCAGAGCUUUCAACCAUCUCUCAUGUCCUUCCUCAGCCGUCAUGGAGACUCGUUAUCACAUGACAUCCACUUUUUUAGUUUGCCACAAAAUGAGUGUUUGUUGGUGUGUUUAAGGACAAUCGGACAUCUGAGUUUGAUUAUUUUGUUCUGUCUUUACGUUGAUCUUCAUCAGAAGAUUAAAUGUAAAUAAAUCAAACAACCAGAUUCAUGACUUUCUACCUUCAGAGCUCCUUUCCAGCGGCUCUCUCUCAGUGCUCAGAUAUCCUGGUGGCUUUGAACGCACCAUCGUGUAGAGCGGGAAUCGGCAGAAAGGCUUUUUAAAAGCACAGACUCUGUGUCGAGCUCAGUGAGCUGCAGUAUAAGCCCCGCCCCCUCUGCCUCUCCCAUCCAAUCAUACGGCCUUCCUCCUCCUACCUUUCGUCUGCUGGUUCACGCCUGACACGGUCAGUGAUUUGACCUUUGACCUCCAGGCUGCCUCUGAUCCUCAUCGACCACUAAAGGGCUCAUACACUGUUUCACGUCAGCCUUGUUCAGCACCUGAGCUGUUAGCUCGUUAACCUAGCUCGGUGGCUAACUCUCCAAAGCUGUUUUUAGAUUUAGAACCAGUAGAGUUCUCUAGUGUUUGUUAGAACCAGUAGAGUUCUCUAGUGUUUGUUAGGGGCGGCUGUGGCACAUAAGGUAGAGCGCUUGUCCCGUAACCACAAGGUUGGUGGUUCAAACCCCUCUACCGGCAACAUGCCGAGGUGUCCUUGAGCGAGACACCUAACCCCAAGUUGCUCCCCGGGCGCUUCAUUGCAGCCCACUGCUCCUCCGGGAUGGUUAAAUGCAGAGAAAUAAUUUCCCCAUUGUGGGACUAAUAAAGGAUUGAUUAUUAUUAUAGAACCAGUAGAGUUCUCUAGUGUUUGUUAGAACCAGUAGAGUUCUCUAGUGUUUGUUAGAACCAGUAGAGUUCUCUAGUGUUUGUUAGAACCAGUAGAGUUCUCUAGUGUUUGUUAGAACCAGUAGAGUUCUCCAGUGUUUGUUAGAACCAGUAGAGUUCUCUAGUGUUUGUUAGAACCAGUAGAGUUCUCUAGUGUUUGUUACAACCAGUAGAGUUCUCUAGUGUUUGUUACAACCAGUAGAGUUCUCCAAGUCGACUUUUCAAACAUUAUGUCCAGAAAGAAUCUUAUCUCAUAUAAAAUAUGUCCAGUAUAAUUCUGGGUCAUAAUUAAAAAAUGAAUCUAAGGGAUCCAUGACGAUUGUCUGCUGAUGUAGUUUUUGUAUCUCUGGCUUCAGUGUCCGUCGGCUCUUAAAGGGAUUCUUUGUUAAUCUCUCUGAGACCAGAAUCCUCCCAGUAAACCUGUUUAAGAGGUUUCUGUCUGCUGGACAUUAAAAAGCUAAAACUGUUUUUGUUGAAGUUGAUUUUUAAAAUCCUGACUGAUGUAUUUUCCCGUAGUGACUCAUUUUAAAUGGUUCAUUAAGAAGAAAAUGAAUAUUCAUGUUAAUUUGUUCUCUAAAAAGUCUGAAAUCUUCCUGUUUUGUAAAUUUAUAUUUUUGUGAAACACACAUUUUUAUAUUGUGAAGCGUUUUUUUAUUAAUCUGACUGAAUGUAAGGCAGCUCUAUUUUUAAUGACAUCAUUUCCUGCCUUGGGGCUGACCAAUCAGAGUGCAACAUUUGUACUGCAGACUGAUUUCAAAAUAAAACAUUUGACUGAAACUUCUCUGAAGUCUGUUUCCUUUUUACUGAUGAAACAAAGAAAAUAAUGUUUCUCAAUAUCUGCUACUUAAAGAUGCUAUCAACAUGGAGCGGGCUGAGCUAGCAUCUAGCAGUGCUAACAUGUUAAACAGUG